UGUCUCCGGCAUGCCACCCAAGACUGUCUGUUCUCUUCUGAUUUCAGAAGUUAAGCAGGGUCGGACCUGGUUAGUAUUUGGAUGGGAGGAAC
rnacentral:rRNA from 1 species